GUUAGCCAUUGUUAGCAACUAGCUAGCGUUACGUAGCUCUAUCAACCAAGUCCUGUCUCCAACGUGAAUUAAAGACCACCUGCGCCUGAGACUACAUAUGAAUCAGCCAAAAGGCAGGGAUCCACUUUCUCCAAAAAUGUCACUCCCACUGCACCCAAAUCAUCCUUUGCUUGGACUUGGAGGUCUUCACCACACCUGCCACCAGAGGCUAGGGCCUGAGAGGGUGGUACGGCUCGUGACAAUACUCGAUGCAACUCCUCCGCUGAGAAGUCUUCCAGUCCCAGGAACCAAAAUACUAGUCUGUAUCAUGUGAGAAUGAACAGGAGGGUCUAUCUCUAUCAGCCCCAGGCCCUGCUUCAUCCCUGCACUGAGACUGAAGAGAAGGGUCUGUUCUGCAGACUGGAGCCUCUGCCCCUUUGAUGACGACCAAGACUGAAGAUGUUCAGUCUACCUGUCCACUGGUUGUGUUCUGUGUGGUGGUGGUGGAGAGUCUCUGUAUCUCGUAGUUCGGUCCUGGUUCCGACUCGGAAAGGAACAGCGACGACUCCUGAUCCAGGGUCCUGAUCCGGGGCCAUGGUUUGUCACCAGCCACUUCAGAGAUCCUGUCACUGCC